rnacentral:rRNA from 1 species
AUACGUAGGGGGCGAGCGUUGUCCGGAAUGAUUGGGCGUAAAGGGCGCGUAGGCGGCCCGGUAAGUCUGGAGUGAAAGUCCUGUUUUUAAGAUGGGAAUUGCUUUGGAUACUGUCGGGCUUGAGUGCAGGAGAGGUAAGUGGAAUUCCCAGUGUAGCGGUGAAAUGCGUAGAGAUUGGGAGGAACACCAGUGGCGAAGGCGACUUACUGGACUGUAACUGACGCUGAGGCGCGAAAGUGUGGGGAGCAAACAGGAUUAGAUACCCUGGUAGUCCACACUGUAAACGAUGAAUGCUAGGUGUAGGGGGUAUCGACCCCUUCUGCGCCGCAGUCAACACAAUAAGCAUUCCGCCUGGGGAGUACGGCCGCAAGGUUGAAACUCAAAGGAAUUGACGGGG